GACGAACGCUGGCGGCGUGCUUAACACAUGCAAGUCGAACGAGUGGCGAACGGGUGAGUAAUACGUGGGUAACCUGCCCUCUUUUUGGGAUAAGCCUUUGAAACCGGGUCUAAUACCCAAUAAAGGGGGAUGGGCUCUGGGCCUAUCAGCUUGUUGGUGGGGUGAUGGCCUACGAAGGCGGUGACGGGUAGCCGGCCUGAGAGGGUGACAGGAAAAAGUGGGAGGUAGAGACGGCGAAGAGACCGACGGGAGGGAGCAGUGGGGGAUAUGGCACAAUGGGGGAAAGCCUGAGGCAGGGACGCGGAGUGGGGGAUGAAGGCUUGCGGGUGGUAAACCUAUGUGGAUAGCGAAAGGGUAGGUGGAGAAGAAGCGCCGGCUAACUACGUGCCAGCAGCCGCGGUAAUUC
rnacentral:rRNA from 1 species